AACAGCACGCGAUGAUGGAUAUUAUCACGUGCGGUUGACUUAAGCCGAUCGCACGGGAUAAUCUAUUAUCCCGUGCGGUU
rnacentral:pre_miRNA from 11 species